AUGACAACAAGGGGAGAGACUACUUAGAGUAGCGCCGAAGGAGCAAGCAGUGCAAUGUGAAUCUCUCAGGCAAAAGAACACUUGUUUGACG
rnacentral:ncRNA from 2 species